GGAUAAACUCGUGAUUCUCAGGUAAAAAACCUGUUUAGUUGCUGAUUUUGUUCUCCGUGAGAUAUCGAAUGACACUCCCUCCGGAGUGAACGUGCGGGCCUGCCAUUCCAAGGCUCUGACGUCUGACACCCGUUUACAGGAUAAUAGGCAGAACAGCAUAAGCAAUUUUGCCGAUAAUUGUUUAAAAGACAACUCUAAGUUAGAGGGCCAGCCAUCUAGGAGUCUGAACACGGAGUUGACAUCCCAGAAGGAUCCAUAUCUGGAUGUAGGAGGACGUGAGAAACGAACACCCUUAAGUAGACGACAGACUAAG